rnacentral:rRNA from 1 species
CGGGGUGAGUAACGCGUGGGUAACCUGCCUUGUACUGGGGGACGAAACAGUUGGAAACGACUGCUAAUACCGCAUAAGCGCACAGCUUCGCAUGAAGCAGUGUGAAAAACUCCGGUGGUACAAGAUGGACCCGCGUCUGAUUAGCUGGUUGGUGAGGUAACGGCCCACCAAGGCAACGAUCAGUAGCCGGCUGAGAGGGUGAACGGCCACAUUGGGACUGAGACACGGCCCAA